rnacentral:rRNA from 1 species
CCUACGGGCUGCUGCAGUGGGGAAUAUUGGACAAUGGGCGCAAGCCUGAUCCAGCAAUGCCGCGUGUGUGAAGAAGGCCUGCGGGUUGUAAAGCACUUUGAGUGGGGAAGAAGGCCUGGGGGUUAAUAGCUUCUGGGAUUGACGUUACCCACAGAACAAGCAACGGCUAACUCCGUGCCAGCAGCCGCGGUAAUACGGAGGGUGCGAGCGUUAAUCGAAGUUACUGGGGGUAAAGCGAGCGGUCUCGGUUGAAAGCCCUGGGCUUAACCUGGGAACUGCAUUGGAUACUGUUUGACUGGAGUGUGGUAGAGGGGUGUGGAAUUUCCGGUGUAGCAGUGAAAUGCGUAGAGAUCGGAAGGAACACCAGUGGCGAAGGCGGCACCCUGGACCGACACUGACGCUGAGGUGCGAAAGCGUGGGGAGCAAACAGGAUUAGAUACCCGAGUAGUC